rnacentral:rRNA from 1 species
GCUACGGGUGGCUGCAGUAGGGAAUUUUCGGCAAUGGGGGGAACCCUGACCGAGCAACGCCGCGUGAACGAAGAAGUUAUUCGUAAUGUAAAGUUCUUUUAACAGGGAAGAAAGAGAAAUUUGACGGUACCUGUCGAAUAAGCCACGGCUAACUACGUGCCAGCAGCCGCGGUAAUACGUAGGUGGCAAGCGUUGUCCGGAUUUACUGGGUGUAAAGGGCGUGUAGCCGGGCUGACAAGUCAGAUGUGAAAUCCGGGGGCUCAACCCCCGAACUGCAUUUGAAACUGUUGGUCUUGAGUAUCGGAGAGGCAGGCGGAAUUCCUAGUGUAGCGGUGAAAUGCGUAGAUAUUAGGAGGAACACCAGUGGCGAAGGCGGCCUGCUGGACGACAACUGACGGUGAGGCGCGAAAGCGUGGGGAGCAAACAGGAUUAGAUACCCCUGUAGUC